AGGCAAUAAUCAUCCGGGGCACUAUCCACUCGCCGUAGCCGGAUACACAAACACACACACGGUUCCGGCGUCCCGUUGCUAACUUACAGCUAGCUUAUGCUAACGUCUGUACUGUUGCUACUUUGGCUGUUUGGGGGCGAACAAACAAACGACCCCGCGGUCACAUUCACCGGAAUGAUACUAGGAGAAAACUACGCAUCGCUGUGAGAAGGAAUAUGGCGUUUGAUAUCGGUUUUGUUUGUGUUUCUGCUAAUAGACGGUUGCAGGUGGACUGGUGUUUACAUGGUCCGUGGGAGCUGGAAGUCCGCAGUCAGCUGUGUGGCGGCUGCAGUGCUUUGAUUAGUCUCCUAGCUGCAGAUCUGCAGCCUCAAUAAAUGUCAUCUGGGAAGAAGAAGAAGAAGAAGAAGAAGAAGAAGAAGAAGAAGAAGAAGAAGAAGAGGAGCCUUGUAGAGACCAGCUGAAGGAACAUCUUCUCUGAGCUGAAGCUCUGAGAUGAGUGCAGAGUUUCCGGACCACAACGGAGAAGUUCCUUCACUCCAUUCAUGCCGCCUUCUCUCCGUACUCACUGUAUACUCAUAGUAUUGUAUGUCAUGAAAUAAUUUAAUAAAAAAGUAAGUAAUAGUACGUAUUAUGUCAAAAAAAAAGCUCAGAAAAGUCAUACAUGUCAAAAAGUGUUAUUGCAUUGUUAUAACACUGUUAUAACAUGUAUUAUGACAAAAAAAAUCUGUUAAAAAGUGCUAUUACACAGUUGUACACAGUACAUGCCAUAAAAGUGGAUGUAAAUAAUUUUUUCGUCCAAAAAAAAAAAAAUUUUGAUUUUUUUUGUUCUUAAAUUAGAAUCUUCUCUUCUCUGAGAUGUCCUACUCUGGUCUCUUCCUGGCUCUGAGAUGUCCUACUCUGGUCUCUCCCUCUUUCUGAGGUGUCCUACUCUGGUCUCUUCCUGGCUCUGAGAUGUCCUACUCUGGUCUCUUCCUGUCUCUGAGGUGUUCUACUCUGGUCUCUGCCUUACUCUGGUCUCUGCCUGUCCUUGUCUUAAUACUCUCCUACUCUGGUCUCUGCCUGUCCUUGUCUUAAUACUCUCCUACUCUCUUCUUGCCUGCCUGCACUUGCUUUCCUAGCCUCUCUUUCCUAUCUGGGGGGCCUAUCUAAGUGUUUGUACAUACGUUGGCAACGAGCCGGUCUUGAACACUCGACCCUGGGCGCCUUAGAGUUGAGCACAAACCAACUUUGCUACCUACGCAAGUACGCACGGGACAGUUCUCCGGGUGUAUUUGUCUUUGUCAUUCUGGGUGUAAAGCUCAAAAUAAAUUGUCUAUUCCUG